rnacentral:rRNA from 1 species
GACGAACGCUGGCGGCGUGCUUAACACAUGCAAGUCGAACGGUAAGGCCCUUCGGGGUACACGAGUGGCGAACGGGUGAGUAACACGUGGGUGAUCUGCCCUGCACUUCGGGAUAAGCCUGGGAAACUGGGUCUAAUACCGGAUAGGACCCUGGGAUGCAUGUCCUGGGGGGGAAAGCUUUUGCGGUGUGGGAUGGGCCCGCGGCCUAUCAGCUUGGUGGUGGGGUGAUGGCCUACCAAGGCGACGACGGGUAGCCGGCCUGAGAGGGUGACCGGCCACACUGGGACUGAGAUACGGCCCAGACUCCUACGGGGGGCAGCAGUGGGGAAUAUUGCACAAUGGGCGCAAGCCUGAUGCAGCGACGCCGCGUGAGGGAUGACGGCCUUCGGGUUGUAAACCUCUUUCAGCACCGACGAAGCGCAAGUGACGGUAGGUGCAGAAGAAGGACCGGCCAACUACGUGCCAGCAGCCGCGGUAA